rnacentral:lncRNA from 1 species
GUAGAUUCUGUUGAAUCGAACCAGUAUAAAAAUAUCUGUGUGGUUUUUCUAUUCCCUACACUUAUUUUACUUAACGCACAUCAACUGUUUGGUUAAUUUUCCGAAAGAAAAUUACUUUUGUAAAAAAGGCCAAAAUCGUUUCAACUGUGACCUAAUACGCUUUACGCUCUCUAUGUUUUAAAUCCGCUGCGUUUUACUCUUCGAAAAUUACCCCCUCCGAUACCAUCACAUUCAACUCUCACUACCUUGUUAUCAUCUUCUAGAGGAGUUAAAUACUAGUAAAGUCAAGAUAAUACCACAUCACAAGUCCCCCUCAAUACACUUGGAAACACAUUAAACUUUCACAACUAAUUCUACGUUAGAUAGAGAUAGCUGAGUUUGUAAAAUUAACUCUAUAAUAAAUACAUUAUAUAUAAUUUAACCUUUUUAUUAAUAAAAUAUGUAUAAAAUUUAUUCUUUCAAUUUUCUGUCUUUUUUUUUUAUGACAGAUAAUUACACACACCC